UUUUUGCCCAGCUCACGAGACAAUAAAAUCGACCGCUAUAUUUUUCGCUGUUUGCAUUUCUCUGUUAAGCGCUAAGUAAAUUUUUGUUUGAAUAUUUUCGACUCAAAAUUUCACAUGGCACCGUCAAAAUCUACAAAACUUCAUAAAUCAGGCAAAUGUCAAUCAAAGAAAGUUUUACUCGGGGUUCAAGGAAGUGAUGUUAAAAUUUGGCACCUUGGCAACAGAAGGAAAAAAAGGUGUGGCUCAAGUCGCAAACAGAAAAGGAAAGGCUCAUCUUGUGCAGCAAAGAAAGCAAAACAUAGCUGUAACAAAAAGAAGGUGGCCUCCAAAUGUAAACGUGCCGGAAGCGCAAAACCAGCAAAACCGUCGUGUCCUGCUCCGGCUCCUCCGGGCCUGCUCGACAGGAUAAUGAGCAUGUUUGGCAUGUGCCCGCCUGCUAAAUGUUAAUGGUCAGAGAAGAUACUCAAGUAGUUCAGCAUCGACUAUGAAGACCAACUCAGCGCUAUGAAAAUAUGUUAAAUUCAUUGUCAUAAUAUUACCUUUAAAUAUUUCACAUUAGAACAUCUAAUGACAGAAGAAGAAUCACUACGACACAAAAUUGUCGAUAAGUUUGACAACUCAAAAUAAACAUCAAACAAGAAAAUUAAAACUAGUUUCGACGCGAUACAAACUGUUUGGAAUUAAUUUCAUUUAAAUAAAUGACUCAAAACUACGUCAUGAUUGCAAAUGAAGGCUUCAAAAGAACCAUGUCGGCUAUGAGCAUACCUAUGUGUCAAUGCUUUGAAAAGAAACUCACCUGAAUGACUUCCUUAAUUGAUCGAAUGAGUUUUAUACAAAGGCGUGUUUUACACGUUGACUGUUGAGUUAUGCCAAUAAAAUGUGCACCUUGCGGCAGCCGAUAGCUGCAUGCAAACAGGCUACAUUGCAUCUGGCAAGCGUCAUCAAUAACAGACAUCAUUAAAUGUGCGAAUAUAAAUACACUGGUUGCCUUCAUGUA